AACGAACGCUGGCGGCAUGCCUAACACAUGCAAGUCGAACGAGACCUUCGGGUCUAGUGGCGCACGGGUGCGUACCGCGUGGGAACCUGCCCUUAGGUUCGGAAUCACUCCCCGAAAGGGGUGCUAAUACCGGAUAAUGUCUUCGGACCAAAGAUUUAUCGCCUUUGGAUGGGCCCGCGUUGGAUUAGCCAGUUGGUAGGGUAAAGGCCUACCAAGGCGACGAUCCAUAGCUGGUCUGAGAGGAUGAUCAGCCACACUGGGACUGAGACACGGCCCAGACUCCUACGGGAGGCAGCAGUGGGGAAUAUUGGACAAUGGGCGAAAGCCUGAUACAGCAAUGCCGCGUGAGUGAUGAAGGCCUUAGGGUUGUAAAGCUCUUUUACCCGGGAUGAUAAUGACAGUACCGGGAGAAUAAGCUCCGGCUAACUCCGUG
rnacentral:rRNA from 1 species